rnacentral:rRNA from 1 species
UAGCAUGAAUGGUCUGACGAAAGCAAUACUGUCUCCUCUUUAUUUUUUAGAAUUAACUUGUGGGUGAAGAGGCCUACAUUAAAUUGAAGGACAAGAAGACCCUGUCGAGCUUAAAAGUAAAAGUAGAUGUUAGUUAUUUGAAAAAUCAAUAAGCUCAUUAUAGCUUUUAGUUGGGGCGGACGAAGGAAUAGGCAAAGCUUCUUUUAUUUUUGUAAAUCUAUAAAUUUGGAUCCAGUAGAACUGAUUAAAAGAAUUAGUUCCGCAGGGAUAACAGCAUAAUCUCCUU